AGUCGAGCGAUCGGCCGGUGAGGGGUAACCCGAUCCGGUACGGAGCGGCGAACGGGUGAGUAACACGUGGGCAACCUGCCCCAGGCUCUGGAAUAACCCCCGGAAACGGGGGCUAAUGCCGGAUAACCUCGGACGGUCACAUGGCCGAUCGAGCAAAGUUCAGGCGGCCUGGGAUGGGCCCGCGGCCUAUCAGCUUGUUGGUGGGGUAACGGCCUACCAAGGCGACGACGGGUAGCUGGCGUGAGAGCGUGGCCAGCCACACUGGGACUGAGACACGGCCCAGACUCCUACGGGAGGCAGCAGUGGGGAAUCUUGCACAAUGGGCGAAAGCCUGAUGCAGCGACGCCGCGUGAGGGAAGAAGGCCCUCGGGUUGUAAACCUCUUUCGGCAGGGAAGAAGCCGCAAGGUGACGGUACCUGCAGAAGAAGCCCCGGCCAACUACGUGCCAGCAGCCGCGGUAAGACGUAGGGGGCGAGCGUUGUCCGGAUUCAUUGGGCGUAAGGCGCGCGCAGGCGGCUCGGAAAGUCGGAUGUGAAAAUCCGGGGCUCAACCCCGGACCUGCAUCCGAUACUCCCGAGCUAGAGGCAGGUAGGGGAGAGUGGAAUUCCCGGUGUAGCGGUGAAAUGCGCAGAUAUCGGGAGGAACACCAGUGGCGAAGGCGGCUCUCUGGGCCUGCCCUGACGCUCAGGCGCGAAAGCUAGGGGAGCGAACAGGAUUAGAUACCCUGGUAGUCCUAGCCGUAAACGAUGGGUGCUAGGUGUGGGGCCGGGAUCGACCGGCUCCGUGCCGUAGCCAACGCAUUAAGCACCCUGCC
rnacentral:rRNA from 1 species